rnacentral:rRNA from 1 species
AAAAAACUUUGAAGAGAGAGUUAAAAAGUACGUGAAACCGUUUAGGGGUAAACGGAAAAGAGCUGAAAAUCCGAAAAGGGAGAUUCACGUCUUCUCGUAUGCUUAAUAUAGUUAUUUGUAUGAUAACUAAUGGCCUGUACUAUUGUAUUCGGCUAUUAAUUGCUUACUAGAUUAUAUUAACAACGGUGGACCGCACUUCUCUCUUAGUAGGACGUCGCGACCUGCUAAUUUAUAAUUUAAGUUCAAACUUUUUAAAUGUUUUAUUAUAAUAAAAAUAAUUUUUUUUUAUUAUAAUAAAGUAGUUUGUUUCUAAUUAAAUAAUUGGCAGUAUAAAACGACAGUGAAAUGCCGCUUAUAAUUAAGCGUUUAACAAAAAAUAAUUUUUUUUAUAAUAAUAAAUUAUGGAUUUUAAUCCUUCUUUUUUUUAUUAAAAAAAUAUUUAUUUAUUU